UUGAACGCUGGCGGCAUGCCUUACACAUGCAAGUCGAACGGCAGCACGGAGCUUGCUCUGGUGGCGAGUGGCGAACGGGUGAGUAAUAUAUCGGAACGUACCCUGGAGUGGGGGAUAACGUAGCGAAAGUUACGCUAAUACCGCAUACGAUCUAAGGAUGAAAGUGGGGGAUCGCAAGACCUCAUGCUCGUGGAGCGGCCGAUAUCUGAUUAGCUAGUUGGUAGGGUAAAAGCCUACCAAGGCAUCGAUCAGUAGCUG
rnacentral:rRNA from 1 species